rnacentral:rRNA from 1 species
AGAGCGAACGCUGGCGGCAUGCUUAACACAUGCAAGUCGCACGGUCAGCAAUGGCAGUGGCGGACGGGUGAGUAACGCGUAGGUAUCUAUCCACGGGUGGGGGACAACGUCGGGAAACUGACGCUAAUACCGCAUGAUACCCGAGGGUCAAAGGCGCAAGUCGCCUGUGGAGGAGCCUGCGUACGAUUAGCUUGUUGGUGGGGUAAAGGCCUACCAAGGCGACGAUCGUUAGCUGGUCUGAGAGGAUGAUCAGCCACAUUGGGACUGAGACACGGCCCAAACUCCUACGGGAGGCAGCAGUGGGGAAUAUUGGACAAUGGGCGAAAGCCUGAUCCAGCAAUGCCGCGUGUGUGAAGAAGGUCUUCGGAUUGUAAAGCACUUUCGGCGGGACGAUGAUGACGGUACCCGCAGAAGAACGCCCCGGCUAACUUCGUGCCAGCAGCCGC